rnacentral:ncRNA from 1 species
GGAUAAUCCCGGGUGACCGGGGAAAAGCCGCGACAGGCUGGUUGGCGCGACUCCUCUGAAACCAGAUCGCAAGAUUUGGGGAGGCAUAAUUCACCGGUUCCACUGGCGCGUUCGCGCGUGCCAGUAUCGCGAAAAAAGGAACCGUGCGGCGAGGGACGAUUAGAAACCGUUCCGAGUUGAGUCAAGUAGUUCAGGCAGGUUUCGAGCCUGGGCGAAUCGCAGUUGCCAAAAGGUAUUGGUUGCUACUGCGCAUCAGCACGGAUGGACGACUCUGGCGGGUUUCAAAAAUAAUAAGUUGAGCCUGCCAAAAGAAAAACGCCGAAAGGCGGAACAAAACGAGAGUCCGGACCGGGAAGGCCACGCAGGCUGGGCAGGCCGCGUGAAAAACUUCCGGGCGUCGGCGAUGUUAAAAACGACACCGCCGGGCUGUGAAAGAAAAGCAACUUGAGAGUGAAGAGGCGAGACCCGUGGCGUCGGGCGAACGCGCUGUCAAAAACGGCGGCUGACCCGGUGCUAUUGUGGAGACGCGAAAGAAAUUACAGGCGUGUCUCAACCUGGUUCGCAGGCCGGUGGCGCAACCACCAGUUGAAGCGAGCUGAAAAGCCUCACUCGAAAUUCAGCGACCGCAAGGCGCUGGACGGCCCUGCUACGAGGCCGAAAACUCCGCUUGCCGUGGAGAAUGGCGUCGGGAAGCCAGCAGCCCCCGCGAGGGUGCGCGCCUAAUGUUGGCUUGGGAAAGAGAGCAUGGCGAACUCC